GCCUCCUUAACUCAGUAGGCAGAGUAGCUGCAUGGUAAGUAGCAAGUCGUCGGUUCAAAUCCGGUAGGAGGCU
rnacentral:tRNA from 1 species